UACGUAGGGAGCAAGCGUUGCCCGGAGUUACUGGGCGUAAAGGGUGCGCAGGCGGUCGUUCAAGUUUGGUGUGAAAUCUCCCGGCUCAACUGGGAGGGUGCGCCGAAUACUGAAUGACUAGAGUGCGGGAGAGGAUAGUGGAAUUCCUGGUGUAGCGGUGAAAUGCGUAGAUAUCAGGAGGAACACCAGUGGUGUAGACGGCUGUCUGGACCGUAACUGACGCUGAAGCACGAAAGCGUGGGUAGCAAACAGG
rnacentral:rRNA from 1 species